rnacentral:tRNA from 1 species
AGUUUUUAGUAUAUUUGAGUAUGUUUAAUUGCAAAUUAAAAGGUUAAAGACUUU